UAUGCUAAUCAUCUCAGAGUUAGUCGGCCCCUAAGACGAGGCUUAACAGCGUAGUCGAUGGGAAGCAGGUUAAUAUUCCUGCACCGGUUUGCGGAGGUAAUCGUGAUGGAGUGACGCAGAAAGAUAAUGGCGCAGAGUGUUGGAUUACUCUGUUCUUAGUGUAGGCUUGAUGUCCAGGUAAAUCCGGAUGUCUUAUGGCUGAGGCAAUAGGGGAGCUCGGGCAACCGAGUGAAGGUCAUGAUUCUAGGCUGCCAAGAAAAACUUCUAAACGCGAAGCAGACCGACCGUACUACAAACCGACACAGGUGGGUGGGGUGAAUAACCUAAGGCGCUCGAGAUAACUCUUGUUAAGGAACUCGGCAAAUUAGUCCCGUAACUUCGGGAAAAGGGACGCCUUUUUAGCGUGAAGUAGAACAUACGGAGCGUGAAGAGGUCGCAGAGAAAUGGGCCAAGCGACUGUUUAGCAAAAACACAGGGCUCUGCAAAAUCGUAAGAUAAAGUAUAGGGUCUGACACCUGCCCGGUGCUGGAAGGUUAAAAGGAGAGGUUAGCGUGAUUUAUCAUGCGAAGCUUUGAAUUGAAGCCCCAGUAAACGGCGGCCGUAACUAUGACGGUCCUAAGGUAGCGAAAUUCCUUGUCAGGUAAGUUCUGACCUGCACGAAUGGUGUAACGACUUGGUCACUGUCUCAACAAGAGGCUCGGUGAAAUUGUAAUGUUAGUGAAGAUGCUGACUACCUGUAGUUGGACGGAAAGACCCCGUGCACCUUUACUGUACCCUGACACUGUGAUUUGGCAACGUAUGUGUAGGAUAGGUGGGAGACUUUGAAGUUGGGACGCCAGUCUCGAUGGAGUCGUUGUUGAAAUACCACCCUUACCUUGUUGGAUUACUAACUGAUACCCGUUAUCCGGGAUCAGGACAAUGUCUGGCGGGCAGUUUGACUGGGGCGGUCGCCUCCUAAAGAGUAACGGAGGCGCCCAAAGGUUCCCUCAGCACGGACGGAAAUCGUGCGCAGAGUGUAAACGCAUAAGGGAGCUUGACUGCGAGACAAACAAGUCGAGCAGAAACGAAAGUUGGGGUUAGUGAUCCGGUGGUCCCGAGUGGAAGGGCCAUCGCUCAACGGAUAAAAGGUACGCCGGGGAUAACAGGCUGAUAGUGCCCAAGAGUUCAUAUCGACGGCACUGUUUGGCACCUCGAUGUCGACUCUCCGCAUCCUGGGGCUGGAGAAGGUCCCAAGGGUUUGGCUGUUCGCCAAUUAAAGCGGAACGCGAGUUGGGUUCAAAACGUCGUGAGACAGUUUGGUCCCUAUCCUCUACAGGCGCUGGAGAUUUGAGGAGAUCUGUUCCUAGUACGAGAGGACCGGAAUGGACGAACCUCUGGUACAUCGGUUAUCGCGCCAGCGGUACAGCCGAGUAGCUAUGUUCGGAAGGAAUAACCGCUGAAAGCAUCUAAGCGGGAAAUCUACUCCAAGAUGAGAUCUCCCCGGGACUUUAAGUCCCCUGAAGACUCCUCGAAGACUACGAGGUCGAUAGGAUGGCGGUGUAAGUGCGGUAACGUAUUCAGCCUACCAUUACUAAUCAGUCGUGAGGCUUGAUCAA
rnacentral:rRNA from 1 species